rnacentral:lncRNA from 1 species
AAAGAUUUAGUACUAUAUAAGAUUAUAUGGCUGUAAUUUAGGAAACUAAUACAAUUGAGCCACUAUUCUCAAUGUUUUAGCAAGUUUGCUUCAGUUUACUUUCAUCAUUAUUCAGUAUUAUUCAGAAACUUAAGAGAUACGUUGCUUCCCACUAUAAUGAAACUUUUUUUUCCAUAGAAUUGAAGCCAAAAUAUGUGAAAUGGAUACUGGAGGGCCACAGUUUAUUCAUCACAAGUUUGGGUCUAAAUAUCAGCAAUUUUUUGCAUACCAGCUUCUCUAACUGAAGAGCACGAACCCACCGGGAGGAACGAGCAACUGCAGACGCGCCGCCUUAAGAGCUGUAACACUCACUGCGAAGGUCUGCAGCUUCACUCCUGAGCCAGCAAGACCACGAACCCACCAGAAGGAAGAAACUCCGAACACAUCCGAACAUCAGUAGGGACAAACUCCGGACACGCAGCCUUUAAGAACUGUAACAUUCACCGCGAGGGUCCGCGGCUUCAUUCUUUAAGUCAGUGAGACCAAGAACCCACCAAUUCCGGACACAGUACUACUGCCUAUCCUCUUAAUCACAGGACAAGGACUCCAAAAAGGUUGAGGAUUCCUAAUUCAAAAUCUGAAAUCUGAAAUGCUCCAAACUCUGACACUUUUUGAAUGCCAACAUCACACCACAAGUUGAAAGUUCCACACGUACGUACUUAAUACAAAAUGAGUUUUAUGCACAGUGUUGUCAGAAAUUACCUUCAGGCUAUGUGUAUAAGCUACAUAUAAACAUAAAUAAAUUUUUUGUUUAGAAUUGGGUCACAUGCCCAAUGUAUCUCAUUGUAUAUAUUCCAAAAUCUGAAAAAAGAAUGGAAAUUCAAAACAUUUCUCAUUUUGGAUAAGGAAUACUCAACCUGUAUUAAAAUAAUUUUUCUUGCAGUAAAAUUUAUACUGCAGGAAAAUGAUAGAGGAUGAAUAGAUAGGCCACACAUAGGUAAAAAUUAAGAUAGCAAUAUAAUAGAGCUCUAUAUAGCUAGACUUAUAUUUAGAUGUUCAUAAAAUAUUGCAUCAUAUAUAAUAAUCUUGUUUUGGAAGAGUGGUAAAAAAGCAAACUUAAUCUAGACUGAAUAAUUUAAAACUCUGCUUUAAGUAUUUUGCAAGGAGUCCACUGCUUCUGCACUCAUUUAAUUCUCACACCUCUCAUGUCAGAAAUUGAUGAACUUAAUUUAAGGAAGAUAGUAGUAAGAAGGUGAAUUAACUUCUCAAUUACCAGAGGUUUCACUGGUCCAUAGCAGUCUUAAUAAUAGUUACUGUUAGGACCUCAUGGCUUUAGAUACUGAUUAAAGCUUUCAAAAGGAAUAAAUUACUACUCAAAUAUAUUUAAAGAGCAAAAUCCUCUAGAGAAAAAAAGAAAUGAAGCUCCUUAAUAGUCAGAAAUUUCUAUCUAAUUUUAAAAUUAAUUCUAUUCUGCAAUGUAAGAUUUUUUCUCUUUUCUAAUUUUUAUGAAUAAACAACAAUUAUACAUAUGUAUGGGAUCCAUGUGAUAUUUUGAUACAUGCAUCCAAUGUUUAAUGAUCAAAUGUUUAUAAUAACCCAAAAAUAGAAAAUUCUGAGGACAAUAUACUAGAAAAAAAAUGAACCUAAAUCAGUGCCUCUGCAGGAAUAAUUCAUUAACCACUUACACUUAUUAUUAGCUCUUAUGGCAAGUUGUAAACUAGAACACUGAAAAAUAAAAGAUUGACAUGGAAAGGACUGGUAAAGUAAAAAGAACCAUUUUUCUGGUAACUUGCCUCCUCACACCGAGAAACCAAAAUUGUAGGAACUGCAACAGUUUGUAACUGUUCUGAAUUCCAUCUCUGAUGCUGGAAUCAUAGAAGUAGGUUCUAAGAGUUUUUUUUCAAUAUCCCUCCUAGUAUCUUUCCCCAACAUCUAUGUUUUCAAAAAAUAACAUUCAUAGCAUUGUUUCUCCACUGUAGAACUGGCUCAUGAUCUUUUUUUCACUGAAGUUGUCUGGGUAAGAAGUCUGGGGACAAUGUGCUGUCCUGGGAGUGAUCUCUUCUAUAGCAGAAUUGAUGAAUUAUUAUAGUUCUUGAAAUGAUUGUUCAUCCAGGGUUCUAUGUGACAAUGGUAACUGCCUUAAAGAAGUCUAGCCAUCAUAACACUGCCAUGUUUUCCCUACUCCAAACCCAUAUAGGAGAGAAUAGUUUAUUAUGGCAAAUGCUUUUGUCCUAACUCCUUAAUAUUUUAUAUUCCAAUUGUUACUAAAUAUUAAUACCUCAGUAGGCCAGAAUAGAUGAAAAAGAGGUAUUCUGCUGUGUUCACAUUAGUCACAAUUCACAUGUUAGUUAGGUAUAUCUUAUGGACAAUAAUUUUAAUGUGGCCAAAUAUAAUUCCAGGAGUUAGGUGUUAACCAUACUUCAAUAAAAUACUGUGUCUUUUUGUAGGUAUGAGGAACUUCCUAUUAGAAAAGUGAUUUAUUUUGAGAUAUAAUCUAUACUGUAACAGCUACAUGGACAAAGAACUAAAAGUAAAUUGGACAAAAUGAAUAAAGAGCAAAAUACAUGUUGACUCUGAUGAAAAUAAUGUCUGAGUGAUAAGAGCUGCUUAAGCAAGUUAGGCUUCAUUUUUGUAUGAAUUGAUUAAAUUCUUAUCACUGGAGGCAGUGAAAGGGAAGGGGACUUUUAAAGGAUUCUGUUUAGGGAACAGCUUUGAGCUCUUCAGCAAUCUUAGAGUAAGUAAAUCACAUGUAAUUUAAAAUUUUCUUUCCAAAUAUUAUGAAGGUAAAAAGUCAAUAAAUAUUAAGUUAUAAAAUAUACCUGUGGGAUCAUAAUUUCUGUAGUAAAUAUUUGAGAAACAAACAGUCAGAGACUUAAUUUAUAUGCAAGACAAUGAUUUAAAUACUGACAGCAAUUUAUGGGGUCUAAUAAGUUUUCUGUUUUCCAAAUCAGUUUGACUUAUAUUACCCCAUCUAAUCAUUACUUUGUGAAACCAAGAUAAAUGUGUUGGCAUCAUUAUCAUCUCAUUUACCUGAACUAAGAAAUUUGAGCAAAGAGAAAUUAUGUGACUUACCCGACAUUACACAAGUGAUAGAGUUGACACCACCAUCUUAAAAUCUCUACCUUUUAGUUGUGUUUUUCUCCUGGUGUAAAAUGCUGCUCUCCUUUUUAAUUAUUAGGAAUAUUGAAUGAGACUGGCUUGUUGUUAUUUGUAUCAGAUGAAUUAGAAAUCAGUUUCAUUAUUAUUUGCUUUGGACCCAUUUGCUUA